rnacentral:rRNA from 1 species
UUAAGUUAAUAAGGGCGCACGGUGGAUGCCUUGGCACUAGGAGCCGACGAAGGACGUGACAAACGACGAUAUGCCUUGGGUAGCUGUAAGUAAGCGAUGAUCCAGGGAUUUCCGAAUGGGGGAACCCAACAGGUAAUACCUGUUACCUACAUCUGUUAAGGAUGUGAGGAGGAAGACGCAGUGAACUGAAACAUCUAAGUAGCUGCAGGAAGAGAAAGCAAAAGCGAUUGCCUUAGUAGCGGCGAGCGAAACGGCAGAAGGGCAAACCGAAGAGUUUACUCUUCGGGGUUGUAGGACUGCAAUGUGGACUCAAAGAUUAUAGAAGAAUGAUUUGGGAAGAUCAGCCAAAGAGAGUAAUAGCCUCGUAUUUAAAAUAGUCUUUGUACUUAGCAGUAUCCUGAGUACGGCGGGACACGUGAAAUCCCGUCGGAAUCUGGGAGGACCAUCUCCCAACCCUAAAUACUCCCUAGUGACCGAUAGUGAACCAGUACCGUGAGGGAAAGGUGAAAAGCACCCCGGGAGGGGAGUGAAAUAGAACCUGAAACCGUGUGCCUACAACAAGUUCGAGCCCGUUAAUGGGUGAGAGCGUGCCUUUUGUAGAAUGAACCGGCGAGUUACGUUAUGAUGCGAGGUUAAGUUGAAGAGACGGAGCCGUAGGGAAACCGAGUCUGAAUAGGGCGCCUUAGUAUCAUGACGUAGACCCGAAACCAUGUGACCUACCCAUGAGCAGGUUGAAGGUGCGGUAAGACGCACUGGAGGACCGAACCAGGGCACGUUGAAAAGUGCUUGGAUGACUUGUGGGUAGCGGAGAAAUUCCAAACGAACUUGGAGAUAGCUGGUUCUCUCCGAAAUAGCUUUAGGGCUAGCGUCGACAUUAGAGAUUCUUGGAGGUAGAGCACUGUUUGGGUGAGGGGUCCAUCCCGGAUUACCAAUCUCAGAUAAACUCCGAAUGCCAAUGAAUUAUGGUCGGCAGUCAGACUGCGAGUGCUAAGAUCCGUAGUCGAAAGGGAAACAGCCCAGACCACCAGCUAAGGUCCCAAAAUAAUUGUUAAGUGGAAAAGGAUGUGGGGUUGCACAGACAACUAGGAUGUUAGCUUAGAAGCAGCUAUUCAUUCAAAGAGUGCGUAAUAGCUCACUAGUCGAGUGACCCUGCGCCGAAAAUGUACCGGGGCUAAAACAAUUUACCGAAGCUGUGGAUACCUUUAUAGGUAUGGUAGGAGAGCGUUCUAUGUGUGAUGAAGGUAUACCGUGAGGAGUGCUGGAACGCAUAGAAGUGAGAAUGCCGGUAUGAGUAGCGAAAGACAGGUGAGAAUCCUGUCCACCGUAAGACUAAGGUUUCCAGGGGAAGGCUCGUCCGCCCUGGGUUAGUCGGGACCUAAGGAGAGACCGAAAGGUGUAUCCGAUGGACAACAGGUUGAUAUUCCUGUACUAGAGUAUGUAGUGAUGGAGGGACGCAGUAGGCUAACUAAAGCAGACGAUUGGAAGAGUCUGUCUAAGCAGUGAGGUGUGAAUUGAGUCAAAUGCUUAAUUCUAUAACAUUGAGCUGUGAUGGGGAGCGAAGUUUAGUAGCGAAGUUAGUGACGUCACACUGCCAAGAAAAGCUUCUAGCGUUUAAACAUACUCUACCCGUACCGCAAACCGACACAGGUAGUCGAGGCGAGUAGCCUCAGGUGAGCGAGAGAACUCUCGUUAAGGAACUCGGCAAAAUGACCCCGUAACUUCGGGAGAAGGGGUGCUGACUUUAAGUCAGCCGCAGUGAAUAGGCCCAAGCAACUGUUUAUCAAAAACACAGCUCUCUGCUAAAUCGUAAGAUGAUGUAUAGGGGGUGACGCCUGCCCGGUGCUGGAAGGUUAAGAGGAGUGCUUAGCGUAAGCGAAGGUAUGAAUUGAAGCCCCAGUAAACGGCGGCCGUAACUAUAACGGUCCUAAGGUAGCGAAAUUCCUUGUCGGGUAAGUUCCGACCCGCACGAAAGGCGUAAUGAUUUGGGCACUGUCUCAACGAGAGACUCGGUGAAAUUUUAGUACCUGUGAAGAUGCAGGUUACCCGCGACAGGACGGAAAGACCCCAUGGAGCUUUACUGCAGUUUGAUAUUGAGUGUCUGUACCACAUGUACAGGAUAGGUAGGAGUCUAAGAGAUCGGGACGCCAGUUUCGAAGGAGACGCUGUUGGGAUACUACCCUUGUGUUAUGGCCACUCUAACCCAGAUAGGUGAUCCCUAUCGGAGACAGUGUCUGACGGGCAGUUUGACUGGGGCGGUCGCCUCCUAAAAGGUAACGGAGGCGCCCAAAGGUUCCCUCAGAAUGGUUGGAAAUCAUUCGCAGAGUGUAAAGGUAUAAGGGAGCUUGACUGCGAGAGCUACAACUCGAGCAGGGACGAAAGUCGGGCUUAGUGAUCCGGUGGUUCCGUAUGGAAGGGCCAUCGCUCAACGGAUAAAAGCUACCCUGGGGAUAACAGGCUUAUCUCCCCCAAGAGUUCACAUCGACGGGGAGGUUUGGCACCUCGAUGUCGGCUCGUCGCAUCCUGGGGCUGUAGUCGGUCCCAAGGGUUGGGCUGUUCGCCCAUUAAAGCGGCACGCGAGCUGGGUUCAGAACGUCGUGAGACAGUUCGGUCCCUAUCCGUCGCGGGCGUAGGAAAUUUGAGAGGAUCUGCUCCUAGUACGAGAGGACCAGAGUGGACUUACCGCUGGUGUACCAGUUGUCUUGCCAAAGGCAUCGCUGGGUAGCUAUGUAGGGAAGGGAUAAACGCUGAAAGCAUCUAAGUGUGAAACCCACCUCAAGAUGAGAUUUCCCAUGAUUAUAUAUCAGUAAGAGCCCUGAGAGAUGAUCAGGUAGAUAGGUUAGAAGUGGAAGUGUGGCGACACAUGUAGCGGACUAAUACUAAUAGCUCGAGGACUUAUCCNA